rnacentral:SRP_RNA from 1 species
UCGUGCUAGGCGGGGCGUUAGGGGUGCCCUGUAUCCGAAGUCCUCUUCAUGCGGAGCCGAAUCCCCCGUCUGAGGGGCGAGUGGCGUCGGGGCGUACAGCCCUGGCACCGGAAAAGCGAUGUUGACGAUCGGGUCCUGCGCGGCGGAACCCCGCGAACCGGGUCAGGUCCGGAAGGAAGCAGCCCUAAGUGGAUCGUUCCGGGUGCCGCAGGGUCACCUGGUCUGAGUUGGCUGCCGGUGUCGACGAUGCCCUCCUCGCCACGACGACGGGGGCACGA